rnacentral:rRNA from 1 species
UACGGAGGGUGCAAGCGUUAUCCGGAUUCACUGGGUUUAAAGGGUGCGUAGGCGGGCAAGUAAGUCCGCGGUGAAAUCUCUGAGCUUAACUCAGAAACUGCCGUGGAUACUAUUUGCCUUGAAUAUUGUGGAGGUGAGCGGAAUAUGUCAUGUAGCGGUGAAAUGCUUAGAUAUGACAUAGAACACCAAUUGCGAAGGCAGCUCACUACACAAUCAUUGACGCUGAGGCACGAAAGCGUGGGGAGCAAACAGG